GGUCCAGACUGGAUCAGAGGGCACCUGCCCCGAGAUGGUCCACUGACAGUGGGAGAGAAGGGUGGCCCCAUCUGCAGCCCUGUCCCCCUCAUCAUCCUGUGAGCACAAACCUCUCGUGGCUUCAACUGCUAAUGUCCAAACCAUUGACUUGAGGUCAGUGGUAACAUUUAAGGAACCUGCAAGGGUCAGGCCCUGUUUCCGACAUGUCACCCAAGAUCAGUUCUUCUAAUCUUCAGAACAGCUCUGUGAGGAACAGUACUUCCUGGCUGCCUGCCUCCCAGGGGACCAGGACGCGGAUGUGGGAGUGCUCAGGACCCGCUGUAAAGACGGUGAGGCCCAGGCAUGGAAGAAUGAGGCCAGAGGCCCAGGCUGCAGAUUUCAACAGGACCCACCCCCUGCUCACACAAUAAACACAAUGCAGGAGGCCACUCCUGUCCAAUGCCUGACCUUCCAACAACCGGGCAUGCUGUAUAUGCUGCCUGCGUCCUGCCCUUGCUGAUCUGGUCAUGGUAUCAUGGCUGGGAGAUGAGAGGAAAUGGUGGCCAGUCUGAUCCUGUCUCAAUUCCUGCCCUGUUACACCCCUCCUGGCACUUAUCAUAAACUGUCAUUUUAUUUAUUUGUUCCUGUGACUUGUUAAUAUCUGUCUUCUCUGACAGACUCCAAGCCAGGUAUUGGCAAACUUUUUCUACAAAGAGCCAGAUAGCAAAUAUUUCCAGCUUUGAGAGCCAUACCAUU